rnacentral:rRNA from 1 species
AUGGGCGCAAGCCUGAUGCAGCGACGCCGCGUGAGGGAUGGAGGCCUUCGGGUUGUGAACCUCUGUCGCCGGUGAUGUAGGCUCUGCUUUGUGGGUGGGGUUGACGGUAGCCGGGGUAUGAAGUGCCGGCUAACUACGUGCCAGCAGCCGCGGUAAUACGUAGGGCGCGAGCGUUGUCCGGAAUUAUUGGGCGUAAAGAGCUCGUAGGCGGCUGGUCGCGUCUGUCGUGAAAUCCUCUGGCUUAACUGGGGGCGUGCGGUGGGUACGGGCCGGCUUGAGUGCGGUAGGGGAGGCUGGAAUUCCUGGUGUAGCGGUGGAAUGCGCAGAUAUCAGGAGGAACACCGGUGGCGAAGGCGGGUCUCUGGGCCGUGUACUGACGCUGAGGAGCGAAAGCGUGGGGAGCGAACAGGAUUAGAUACCCUGGUAGUCCAUGCUGUAAACGUUGGGCACUAGGUGUGGGGGGUCUUUCCGGGUCUUCCGCGCCGUAGCUAACGCAUUAAGUGCCCCGCCUGGGGAGUACGGCCGCAAGGCUAAAACUCAAAGGAAUUGACGGGGGCCCGCACAAGCGGCGGAGCAUGCGGAUUAAUUCGAUGCAACGCGAAGAACCUUACC